CUGCCACCAGGGCCGGGCCUGCUCUGCGGACAGAGGAGAACUGAUCACCGCGCACGCGCACGCGGUGCUGUAGCCGAGGCGAGGUCAGCCCCUCCCAUGUUCCUCCUCCACAGGAAAAGCCUUUUUGCCUUCCCGACCUGACGGACCUGACGGCCCAAGACUGCCUGCCUCUGCCCUGGGUGCCAUAGAGACGCAGGAGCCUGGGGUAACUGGCUGGGCGACAGCGUAAGGACCAGACUCUGUCGUCUUAAUUUAUCCUUCUUCAAAUCCUCUGAUCGCGUGGGCAGCUACUUGUAACUUAACGGCUCCUCAUGUCAAAAUAACCCACUACCAUUGUUUCUUCGCCGGCAAAUUUAUCAGUUAAAACUGCUGGGCCUUUUGUUUUAAGAAAGGCAAGCAGGUUUGCUUCACGAACCACAGGCUUCAAAUGACUUGGCGUUUCACUGUUCCCUUAUGUAAACUCGCUGGGCAGUAACUUGCUCUCGAUAACGACCCAUGUCUCAUGACAAAUGACCAGACAGAAAAAGGGCAAGAUUCAGAAUGUCCAAGGAGUAUAGAAAUGAUCAAAGAUGUCUUAAAAAAUUGAAAAUCAUUCCAGGUUUCUUUCCCUGGCCUGUGCUAUUGUGGCACUGGUAUCUUGAAAAUUCCAAGUUUCAACACCGAUCAAUGGAGUUCUGAUAAGCUAACGGAACACUGGCAGUUUACAGUUCAGUCCUAAGCUCAAGAUUUUAAACUCCCUUUGGUUGUCUAACGAGUACAGAUCUGAAGAUGCUUCUUGUCACGCUUAGAUAACAUCUCUGUUCAAUCCGUAUAUCCACCCUCUAGACUGGGGGGGGGUCCCCACUCCCUUUGACCCAAACCUGUAAUUUUACUGAGUCUCAAAGGCACGGAUCUACUUCUGUUGUCUUACAGACACAUGCUAACUGCUUUUUCUAAAAUAUGGACUCUAAUACAUCCUUUUGUAAAACUAAAGUCCACUUGAGCUUCUGGAAAUCCAAGACUUAGACCUGCCUGCCACAGAUUAAAUGAACUCCAGAUAAAUUCUCGAACUUGUCCUUAAAAAUAGAAUCCUCCCUCCCCUUUUGGUCUUAGACUGUUUUAACUUCUGUCCCCAGUCUAUGUUUGUCUCAGCAGAUUUUCACCUGACUGAUACUGACAGACUCUGUCCACAGAGCACCUGAGGACGUAAGCUGCUACAGUCUGGCUUGCUGAAAGCUGAUAUUAACCAGUCCAGUCACUGCGACGGUCUCCUGUCUUUCAACUGGAUCAUCUAAGCAGACACUUCUGAUAAGCGCCCCACCGCCCAGCCUUUGACUAGCAUCUCAGCCUCUGUGGGCCACCAAAAGACAACAUCCAUUACUCCACUUUACAGGCCAAGAUGCUAAGUCAGAAAGGCCCACGUUUUGGCAAUAACCUACCAUUCUUAGGUCCUAAUUGACCCCUUGGCCAACGACUAGGACCAAGGCAGAAACAAGAACCUGGAUCCAGGAACCUGUGGUCAGCCAACCACCGCCUCAGGCAGCCAAUCCGAGGACACCUUGUCAUCUGGCUUGAAGCAAGAAUAGGUAGCUAGAAUUCUACCGAUUGUAGAAUCACUCAGACCCCCAGGGAUAGUGCUGACCAAUCAAGGUAAAAGUGAAUGCAGCCCUCCCUGGAAUUCCCCUAACAGACAAUAAAAGCUGAGCCUGUGAUUCCACCAGAGGUCUCCAUUCCCAAAUGGGGAGACGGACCUCAACAUGCAGGAAAUGAAGAACUGCUCUUGGCUUUUGCACAGUAUUGGAGUCUGGGGUAUCGUUCUUCAGAGAUUCUUGGACUCUGACAGGUAGAGCUGCUGUUGUCAUGGACACCUGGACAGAGGAGAGGUUGGGACACUUUGCUUCCGGGGUGAGGUUUAUUUCGUCGCCACCUAGGCAACCAGAAGAUUCCCCGCCCAACGGCUAGAGCCUCAGACACUACGGGGUUAAGGACUUUAUACAUUUCAGCUUCUUUGUCUCCCGAAUAUGUUGACAUAGGAAGCUGAUCAUAGGAAA
rnacentral:sRNA from 1 species